AUACUUACCUGGUGUCGAGCUCUCCGGUGAUCAGCAUGGCCGGGGCUCCGUGCCGAGGCCUCCCAUUGCACUGCGGGUGGCUGAAGCACGCCACUUUCCCAAACUGGGAUAGCUGGGGCAUGCAAUUUUUGGUAGUGGGGUUCGGCGUUCGCGCCAGCCCCUU